rnacentral:lncRNA from 1 species
CUGGACAAGCGCUCUAAAUCAAGCCAGUGGCAUGAGAUCACCCUGGCUCUAGCAUUUUGGAAGAAGAUGACCAUUUUGGAAGAAGCAGCCCAAUGAGAAAAUAGGAGACUUCUUCGAGUCUGGUGUUUGUGCGUCCAUGCAAAGACGCUACGUUGCUUUAGGACGCCAAACAGAGAAGUCACGCGGCAUGAGAAGGCUAAAAAUAAGCAGUUUUCUAAUUUCCCACGAAACCACCCUUGUUUAAGCCUAAGAUGUAAGAUGCAGUAUUCUCUCUUAGGGAACCAUUAAGGAUAAAGAAUCAACGUGAACUGAGUCUCAUAACGUGUUUUAUUUCAUUUAGUCCCUUGGCAUUUUGAGGUGGGUGUCAGGGUCCUCCCUUCACUGACAGGGAAACAACUCUAAGAGGAUCACCACGGCCAAGCUGCCACUCAAGCCAACACCUGCUCGACUUCAAGAGCCAGGCUUUUUUCUACUACCCGUCGUGUUUUGUUUUCUCCCCUCCCGUUUCGUUUGCAUUAGGUGUAGGGACUACAGCUACCCUGUCACCCACGGUCGCUGCGAAAUGUCGCUUACGGUCAGGCCCCCAGAACGGUCACGCGCCCUCCCCUCCUGAGGUGUCUCCGAAACUCGAGCUCCACCGACGAGAAGCGCAGGCCUGAGGCACCGACGCCAGCGCCAGCGCCAGCGCCAGCCCCAGCGUGGCCUCAGGAGCCCGGAAGGCGCCCCCGGGGCGCGUUUACAACACUGUCGUAAAGCGGCGGCUGCCGACAGCCGGCCUCGAGGCGCCGUCGAGGAGCUCGGCGGAGAAAGGAGAUGGAGGAAGGCUGAGGGCCGGGUGACGCCGAAUGGAGACGAGGCGCGGGGUGAAUGGUUGGAGAAGGGAGAGUGAAUGCGGAUUAUCAGGAGAACACAAAUUAAACCACCAAAAUGAAGCUGAAAGGAGUGUUAUCAUGAAAGUUUAUUGGAUUAGGGCCGAGUUUCCACCCUCCUAUGAUGCCAGGAUUUUCCAACAACCAAGCCAAGUUACAUCUUGCCUUAAUAUAAAGAAGAAUGCAGAAAAACCCGACAGCUGAGAGGGAAAGUAAAGAAGCAAGGAGAAGUUGAUGUUUUCUUGGAUUUCUACAGAUUGUGAUCAAACUGUUUAUUGACAAGACCAUUCUCUCUUGGGAUCCUGGGUGGCGCAGCGGUUUAGCGCCUGCCUUUGGCCCAGGGCGCGUUCCUGGAGACCCGGGAUGGAAUCCCACGUCAGGCUCCCGGUGCAUGGAGCCUGCUUCUCCCUCUGCCUGUGUCUCUGCCUCUCUCUCUCUCUCUCUCUGUGACUAUCAUAAAUAAAUAAAAAUUAAAAAAAAAAAGACCA